rnacentral:rRNA from 1 species
CCUACGGGUGGCAGCAGUGAGGAAUAUUGGUCAAUGGACGAGAGUCUGAACCAGCCAAGUCGCGUGAAGGAUGACUGCCCUCUGGGUUGUAAACUUCUUUUAUAUGGGAAUAAAAUGUUCCAUGUGUGGGAUUUUGUAUGUACCAUAUGAAUAAGGAUCGGCUAACUCCGUGCCAGCAGCCGCGGUAAUACGGAGGCUCCGAGCGUUAUCCGGAUUUAUUGGGUUUAAAGGGAGAGUAGGGGGAUUGUUAAGUCAGUUGGGAAAGUUUACGGCUUAACCGUAAAAUUGCAGUUGAAACUGGUAGUCUAGAGUAUGGGAGAGGGGGGCGGAAUGCGUGGGGUAGCGGUAAAAUGCGUAGAGAUCAAGAGGAACACGGAUGGCGAAGGCGGUUCGCUGGAAUACAACUGACGCGGAGGCGCGAAAGUGUGGGUAGCAAACAGGAUUAGAUACCCUUGUAGUC